GGGUUGCGGACAGUGUCUGGUGGGUAGUUUGACUGGGGCGGUCUCCUCCCAAAGAGUAACGGAGGAGCACGAAGGUUAGCUAAUCCUGGUCGGACAUCAGGAGGUUAGUGCAAUGGCAUAAGCUAGCUUGACUGCGAGCGUGACGGCGCGAGCAGGUGCGAAAGCAGGUCAUAGUGAUCCGGUGGUUCUGAAUGGAAGGGCCAUCGCUCAACGGAUAAAAGGUACUCCGGGGAUAACAGGCUGAUACCGCCCAAGAGUUCAUAUCGACGGCGGUGUUUGGCACCUCGAUGUCGGCUCAUCACAUCCUGGGGCUGAAGUAGGUCCCAAGGGUAUGGCUGUUCGCCAUUUAAAGUGGUACGCGAGCUGGGUUUAGAACGUCGUGAGACAGUUCGGUCCCUAUCUGCCGUGGGCGCUGGAGAAUUGAGGGGGGCUGCUCCUAGUACGAGAGGACCGGAGUGGACGCAUCACUGGUGUUCGGGUUGUCAUGCCAAUGGCACUGCCCGGUAGCUAAAUGCGGAAGAGAUAAGUGCUGAAAGCAUCUAAGCACGAAACUUGCCCCGAGAUGAGUUCUCCCUGAGACUUUAAGUCUCCUGAAGGAACGUUGAAGACGACGACGUUGAUAGGCCGGGUGUGUAAGCGCAGCGAUGCGUUGAGCUAACCGGUACUAAUGAACCGUGAGGCUUAACCUUACAACGCCGAAGCUGUU
rnacentral:rRNA from 1 species